GGGUUGUGAGGUUAAGCGACUAAGCGUACACGGUGGAUGCCCUGGCAGUCAGAGGCGAUGAAGGACGUGCUAAUCUGCGAUAAGCGUCGGUGAGGUGAUAUGAACCGUUAUAACCGGCGAUUUCCGAAUGGGGAAACCCAGUGUGAUUCGUCACACUAUCAUUAACUGAAUCCAUAGGUUAAUGAGGCGAACCGGGGGAACUGAAACAUCUAAGUACCCCGAGGAAAAGAAAUCAACCGAGAUUCCCCCAGUAGCGGCGAGCGAACGGGGAGGAGCCCAGAGCCUGAAUCAGUGUGUGUGUUAGUGGAAGCGUCUGGAAAGGCGCGCGAUACAGGGUGACAGCCCCGUACACAAAAAUGCACAUACUGUGAGCUCGAUGAGUAGGGCGGGACACGUGGUAUCCUGUCUGAAUAUGGGGGGACCAUCCUCCAAGGCUAAAUACUCCUGACUGACCGAUAGUGAACCAGUACCGUGAGGGAAAGGCGAAAAGAACCCCGGCGAGGGGAGUGAAAAAGAACCUGAAACCGUGUACGUACAAGCAGUGGGAGCCUCUUUAUGGGGUGACUGCGUACCUUUUGUAUAAUGGGUCAGCGACUUAUAUUCUGUAGCAAGGUUAACCGAAUAGGGGAGCCGAAGGGAAACCGAGUCUUAACUGGGCGUUAAGUUGCAGGGUAUAGACCCGAAACCCGGUGAUCUAGCCAUGGGCAGGUUGAAGGUUGGGUAACACUAACUGGAGGACCGAACCGACUAAUGUUGAAAAAUUAGCGGAUGACUUGUGGCUGGGGGUGAAAGGCCAAUCAAACCGGGAGAUAGCUGGUUCUCCCCGAAAGCUAUUUAGGUAGCGCCUCGUGAAUUCAUCUCCGGGGGUAGAGCACUGUUUCGGCAAGGGGGUCAUCCCGACUUACCAACCCGAUGCAAACUGCGAAUACCGGAGAAUGUUAUCACGGGAGACACACGGCGGGUGCUAACGUCCGUCGUGAAGAGGGAAACAACCCAGACCGCCAGCUAAGGUCCCAAAGUCAUGGUUAAGUGGGAAACGAUGUGGGAAGGCCCAGACAGCCAGGAUGUUGGCUUAGAAGCAGCCAUCAUUUAAAGAAAGCGUAAUAGCUCACUGGUCGAGUCGGCCUGCGCGGAAGAUGUAACGGGGCUAAACCAUGCACCGAAGCUGCGGCAGCGACACUAUGUGUUGUUGGGUAGGGGAGCGUUCUGUAAGCCUGUGAAGGUGUACUGUGAGGUAUGCUGGAGGUAUCAGAAGUGCGAAUGCUGACAUAAGUAACGAUAAAGCGGGUGAAAAGCCCGCUCGCCGGAAGACCAAGGGUUCCUGUCCAACGUUAAUCGGGGCAGGGUGAGUCGACCCCUAAGGCGAGGCCGAAAGGCGUAGUCGAUGGGAAACAGGUUAAUAUUCCUGUACUUGGUGUUACUGCGAAGGGGGGACGGAGAAGGCUAUGUUGGCCGGGCGACGGUUGUCCCGGUUUAAGCGUGUAGGCUGGUUUUCCAGGCAAAUCCGGAAAAUCAAGGCUGAGGCGUGAUGACGAGGCACUACGGUGCUGAAGCAACAAAUGCCCUGCUUCCAGGAAAAGCCUCUAAGCAUCAGGUAACAUCAAAUCGUACCCCAAACCGACACAGGUGGUCAGGUAGAGAAUACCAAGGCGCUUGAGAGAACUCGGGUGAAGGAACUAGGCAAAAUGGUGCCGUAACUUCGGGAGAAGGCACGCUGAUAUGUAGGUGAAGCGACUUGCUCGUGGAGCUGAAAUCAGUCGAAGAUACCAGCUGGCUGCAACUGUUUAUUAAAAACACAGCACUGUGCAAACACGAAAGUGGACGUAUACGGUGUGACGCCUGCCCGGUGCCGGAAGGUUAAUUGAUGGGGUCAGCGCAAGCGAAGCUCUUGAUCGAAGCCCCGGUAAACGGCGGCCGUAACUAUAACGGUCCUAAGGUAGCGAAAUUCCUUGUCGGGUAAGUUCCGACCUGCACGAAUGGCGUAAUGAUGGCCAGGCUGUCUCCACCCGAGACUCAGUGAAAUUGAACUCGCUGUGAAGAUGCAGUGUACCCGCGGCAAGACGGAAAGACCCCGUGAACCUUUACUAUAGCUUGACACUGAACAUUGAGCCUUGAUGUGUAGGAUAGGUGGGAGGCUUUGAAGUGUGGACGCCAGUCUGCAUGGAGCCGGCCUUGAAAUACCACCCUUUAAUGUUUGAUGUUCUAACGUUGGCCCCUGACCGGGGUUGCGGACAGUGUCUGGUGGGUAGUUUGACUGGGGCGGUCUCCUCCUAAAGAGUAACGGAGGAGCACGAAGGUUGGCUAAUCCUGGUCGGACAUCAGGAGGUUAGUGCAAUGGCAUAAGCCAGCUUGACUGCGAGCGUGACGGCGCGAGCAGGUGCGAAAGCAGGUCAUAGUGAUCCGGUGGUUCUGAAUGGAAGGGCCAUCGCUCAACGGAUAAAAGGUACUCCGGGGAUAACAGGCUGAUACCGCCCAAGAGUUCAUAUCGACGGCGGUGUUUGGCACCUCGAUGUCGGCUCAUCACAUCCUGGGGCUGAAGUAGGUCCCAAGGGUAUGGCUGUUCGCCAUUUAAAGUGGUACGCGAGCUGGGUUUAGAACGUCGUGAGACAGUUCGGUCCCUAUCUGCCGUGGGCGCUGGAGAACUGAGGGGGGCUGCUCCUAGUACGAGAGGACCGGAGUGGACGCAUCACUGGUGUUCGGGUUGUCAUGCCAAUGGCACUGCCCGGUAGCUAAAUGCGGAAGAGAUAAGUGCUGAAAGCAUCUAAGCACGAAACUUGCCCCGAGAUGAGUUCUCCCUGACUCCUUGAGAGUCCUGAAGGAACGUUGAAGACGACGACGUUGAUAGGCCGGGUGUGUAAGCGCAGCGAUGCGUUGAGCUAACCGGUACUAAUGAACCGUGAGGCUUAACCUUACAACGCCGAAG
rnacentral:rRNA from 1 species